rnacentral:lncRNA from 1 species
UGCUCCUGGAGGACACGCACAGCACAGAACAGCUCAGCUCAGUCCGCUCCCUGCCUGCACACAUCAGCGCGGACCGGUUCACCUCUGUUCCGAUAGGGAAUACAAGUUUCGUGAGAGUUUAUUUAUUUUUUUCCUUCUUCUUAUCUGGCUUGGAGCGGCAUCACGGAGCCUUCUGCACUCAGUCAGCAUGUCGGAACUGUCCGUGAAUGACCACCUCGAAGGGAUUUUAUCAGAUUUCGAAGCGCUGAAGAGGUCCUUCGACAUUGAAGAUGUGGAUGACAUACCAUCCUUCUCCUCAGCUUCACCCAUCUCCACCCCCGUUUCUCCCUCUUCCCCCCAUUUCUUCCUCCACCACAACAAAGCCAGUGAGGGGCGGGGAGGAGCUGGCCAGUCCCCUUCAUUAGCCUUCAACAACAACAACAACAACAGCCUGGGCUCUGCAGCCCACCACUCCCGCAUCAGCCUGACUUCUAAUCCCAGCCCAGUGCUAAAGUCCCGUAGUGUAGUCAGCAGCCUGUCCUUCAACCGAGGAACCAUGAACAAGUCGGCCAUCCACAACAAUGGUUCUUCUGUCACAAGGGCUGCAUCCUUCCAGAGCAGGUUAAACCCCAACGGUUACUCCAUUCUGUCUGGGCCAGGAAGUGAUGACAGCCUUCACAGCUCCACGUCCAGCCUGGAGUACUCUGGUGGGGGUGGGGGUGCCCUCCCUCUUACUAAGCUGGGGUCAUAUCACAGCCCUCCGCCUCAGGGGGAGUACCACCGAACCCAGCCCCAGCUCCCACAACAGCACCGUGAGGGAGGUGCCAACUUGGAAAGCAGCCUUAACCUGAAGACGUCUCAUGGGGUUGUUUUCCACUCCGGGAUGGACCAGGGGCCAGGGAUGAUGCUGGGUGUUCCGGAGCCUCGGGGGGUGAACCAUGGCUCCAUGCCGAGCCUAGACCCCCAAAUUCAUAAUGGAGGAGGAGGAAUGGUGAGUAUGCCAAGAGGUGGAGGGGGAGACAGGAUGUCACCAGGGUUGAGGUAUGCCAGUGCUAAUGCCAACUGGAAUGGUCGCAUUCAUAAUGCCAGUUCCUUCGGGGAGGAUGGCUACAGUAGCACCAAAAACCAGUACCAGCAGCAAGGCCCCCAGGUCCUCAAGGCUCCCCAGCCCAAGGCCAGAGAGACUUCACGUCUCGGCAAGUUUCCCUUGGAUCUCGACAGCUUGGUAAGCAG